AGAGGCAGUAAGGCAGGGAGAGAAGCUGGUUAGGCAUUUCCUGAUUGAAGUCAGCGGUGCUCCAUUUGCUGAUGGAGAGAGCUGAAGGGCCAGCUGGGAAAAGCUGGGAGAGACAGGGCCAGGGAAAUGGGGCCAGGCUCUCCCAAACACAUAUAAACUUGGAUGAAAGGUCAGACUCCAGCUUAUUUACAAACAACAGUGCAUUACUUGAAUUCCCCAAAGUAAUACUCCUAGAGGAGUAUUAACUAUUAGCUAGGAGUCCUUCCAGACUGCAAACUUGUCUCGGAGCAAUAGUAAAACAUCUUGUUUCUUCUGUCCAAAAGAAGCAGUUGGAUUGUCUCUUGGCUUUGGCUAGGCAAAUAACAUCCUCCUCGAAACAAAUCUGUCUGUUUCCUUAUCCUUUAAAGGUGGAACAACUGCGGCUGUGAGUAACAUGGCUGGAAAGAGAAAGACCCUUUCAGCACCUGGCUUUUGAGCACCCAGGGAGACCCGCACCUAGCUGGAAGACUGGAAUUGAGGCUGGAUGGUACUAUGGCCCACCAGGCUUCCCUGUCCAUGGGAUUCUCUGGACAAGAAUACUGGAGUGGGUUGCCAUGCCCUCCUCCAGGGGAUCUUCCCAACCCAGGGAUGGAACCUGCAUCUCUCAUGUCUCCUGCAUUGGCGCUGGUUCUAGCUCCACCAGGGAAGCCCAGCAGUUCUAGUCCCUGCAGCUGCAUGUUAAUAUCAUCUGGAGUGCUUUCAAAAACUCCCAGUGCCUCUGCCCACCCACUCCUCACCACCGCCCACCCCCGACACACACACUUACCAAUGCACCAGAAUACAAUUUAACUGGUCUGGGGAGGGGCCCAGUGACCAGGCAUUUCUCAAAAGCUCUGUUUCUCUUGUGAUUAUAAUGUGCAGUGCCGAUGGAGAGCCACUGCAGGCCAGCUUCUCCAAGUCUGAAGGCACUCCAGGCUCCAUUUUAACCAGCUAAGUCGGCAGAAGCCAGCAGAGACAGUAAAAGUUCCUGAAGGUUCAGAUGUCAACAGAACAAUCGCUCCCUGGAGAAUAACCCUUCUGGAAGGUCACAGCAGUUAAGAAGCCAGACUAUCAGUUGGAAUCCUGAUUCCACCAUUUUCUCACUAUAGGACUCUGGGCAAUUUUCUUAAUCCCUGAGUUUCCUUAUGAAUAAAAAUGUAAUGGUGUUUAGGUUACAAAGAGUACGAU
ensembl:lncRNA